rnacentral:rRNA from 1 species
GGGCCCGCACAAGCGGUGGAGUAUGUGGUUUAAUUCGAUGCAACGCGAAGAACCUUACCAGGGUUUGACAUCCUGCGAAUCUCUUGGAAACGAGAGAGUGCCUUCGGGAACGCAGUGACAGGUGGUGCAUGGCUGUCGUCAGCUCGUGUCGUGAGAUGUUGGGUUAAGUCCCGCAACGAGCGCAACCCACGUCUUUAGUUGCCAGCAUUUAGUUGGGCACUCUAGAGAGACUGCCGGUGAUAAACCGGAGGAAGGUGUGGAUGACGUCAAGUCAUCAUGCCCCUUACAUCCUGGGCUACACACGUGCUACAAUGGCCGGUACAGAGAGCAGCCACUUCGCAAGAAGGAGCGAAUCUAAUUAAAACCGGUCUCAGUUCGGAUCGCAGUCUGCAACUCGACUGCGUGAAGCUGGAAUCGCUAGUAAUCG